GGUUACGCCUCCUCUGGCUCAGUCGCACAGCUACCUGGUAGGUGACUGGAGGUGUUGAUCAGUGCUUGGUGGGAUUUUGCUGAUGUGGCCCCAAGCCCGCCUCCCUCCCCACCCUGCGAUGGCAGAAGAAACUCGACAAAGUAAAUUGGCAGCAGCCAAGAGAAAGUUAAAAGAAUAUUGGCAGAGAAACAGCCCUGGUGUUCCAGCAGGAGCCAAGAGGAACAGGAAAACAAAUGGCAGCAUCCAUGAGACAGCCACUUCUGGUGGUUGCCACUCACCUGGAGAUUCAGCAACAGGUAUCCACGGGGAGAGCCCUACAUCAUCUGCUACCCUGAAGGAUCUGGAGAGCCCGUGCCAAGAACUAGCAGUAGUCCCAGACUCGAGGUCCGUAAAAGUCAGUCAACUGAAGAACACCAUCAAAUCUUUGAAACAACAGAAUAAACAAGUGGAACAUCAGCUGGAAGAAGUAACAUGAUUUCUUUGUUUGCUCGCGACAUGACUGCUCGGUUUGGGGGACACUCAGAUGUAGAGGCCCCGAGUCUCGUCUCACCCACUCCCAGCCUGGGGAAGAAGGCUCACCCCCCAGAGUCCACCCCAUCCCCCACAGGGUCCCUGAUAACCCGGUCCCAUGGGUGGGCCUGUCCCGGGGCAGGGGCAGUGGUGGCAUUCUGGGGACAUGUCUCUUGCAGUACCAUCUCUGCCUCUGCCUGGUUAGAUCUCUGUCUUCCUCUUCCUACAGGAAAAGAAAGCAAACAACGAGAAACAGAAAGCCGAAAGGGAGCUAGAGGUUCAAAUCCAGAGAUUGAACAUACAGAAAGGGAAACUAAAUACGGACCUGUACCACACGAAACGUUCUCUCAGAUACUUUGAAGAAGAGUCCAAGGAUCUGGCCGUCCGUCUGCAACAUUCAUUGCAGCG
rnacentral:sRNA from 1 species